rnacentral:rRNA from 1 species
GCCCCCCUCAAGAUGGGAUAUCUCAUGUGAAAACAGUAAGACCCCUUGAAGACUACGAGGUAGAUAGGGCCAAGAUGUAAGUACAGUAAUGUAUUGAGUUGAUGGUUACUAAUAGGUCGAGGGUUUAACCAAA